CCUACGGGAGGCAGCAGUGGGGAAUUUUGGACAAUGGGCGAAAGCCUGAUCCAGCCAUUCCGCGUGAGUGAAGAAGGCCUUCGGGUUGUAAAGCUCUUUCGCAAGGGAAGAAAACUUAGUUACUAAUAUUAACUGAGGUUGACGGUACCUUGAUAAGAAGCACCGGCUAACUACGUGCCAGCAGCCGCGGUAAUACGUAGGGUGCGAGCGUUAAUCGGAAUUACUGGGCGUAAAGCGUGCGCAGGCGGUUUUGUAAGUCAGAUGUGGAAUCCCCGAGCUCAACUUGGGAACUGCGUUUGAAACUACAAGACUAGAAUAUGUCAGAGGGGGGUAGAAUUCCACGUGUAGCAGUGAAAUGCGUAGAGAUGUGGAGGAAUACCAAUGGCGAAGGCAGCCCCCUGGGAUAAUAUUGACGCUCAUGCACGAAAGCGUGGGGAGCAAACAGGAUUAGAUACCCUGGUAGUCCACGCCCUAAACGAUGUCUACUAGUUGUUGGUGGAGUAAAAUCCAUGAGUAACGCAGCUAACGCGUGAAGUAGACCGCCUGGGGAGUACGGUCGCAAGAUUAAAACUCAAAGGAAUUGACGG
rnacentral:rRNA from 1 species